rnacentral:rRNA from 1 species
CCGUCCGAGUUGUAAUCUGGAGAAGCGUUUUCAGUACCGGCCCGCGUACAAGUCCCCUGGAACGGGGCGUCGCAGAGGGUGAGAAUCCCGUCUUUGACGCGGUCUGCCCGGUGCCAUGCGAUGCGCUCUCGAAGAGUCGAGUUGUUUGGGAAUGCAGCUCAAAAAGGGUGGUAAAUUCCAUCUAAAGCUAAAUACUGGCGAAAGACCGAUAGCGAACAAGUACCGUGAGGGAAAGAUGAAAAGCACUUUGGAAAGAGAGUCAAACAGUACGUGAAAUUGUUGAAAGGGAAACGCUUGAAGUCAGUCGCGUCUCCCGGGAUUCAGCAGGUUCCUUCGCGGGACAGGCGCAUUUCCCGGGGUUUUGACGGGCCAGCGUCGAUUUCGACCGUCGUAAAAAGGCGAAGAGGAACGUGGCACCUUUCGGGGUGUGUUAUAGCCUCGCGUCGUAUGCGAACGGUUUAGGGAUCGAGGAACGCAGCGCGCCUUUUUCAUUAAGGGCCGGGGUUCGCCCACGUAACGCGCUUAGGACGCUGGCGUAAUGGCUUUAAGCGACCCGUCUUGAAACACGGACCAAGGAGUCUAACAUGCU